rnacentral:rRNA from 1 species
UAGGGAAUCUUGCGCAAUGGGCGAAAGCCUGACGCAGCAACGCCGCGUGGGGGAUGAAGGCUCUCGGGUUGUAAACCCCUUUCAGCAGGGACGAUUAUGACGGUACCUGCAGAAGAAGGACCGGCCAACUACGUGCCAGCAGCCGCGGUAAUACGUAGGGUCCGAGCGUUGUCCGGAUUUACUGGGCGUAAAGGGCGCGUAGGCGGCAAUUCAAGUCAUCUGUGAAAUCUCCGGGCUUAACUCGGAACGGUCAGAUGAUACUGCUUUGCUAGAGUGCAGAAGGGGCAAUCGGAAUUCUUGGUGUAGCGGUGAAAUGCGUAGAUAUCAAGAGGAACACCUGAGGUGAAGACGGGUUGCUGGGCUGACACUGACGCUGAGGCGCGAAAGCCAGGGGAGCAAACGGGAUUAGAUACCCUAGUAGUCCCUGAGCGGGCUGGCAAGGCGCAU